UUUUUAAAGAUUUUAUUUAUUUAUUUGAGAGAGAGAGAGCACAUGAGAGGGGGGAGGGUCAGGAGGGCCAGAGGGAGAAGCAGACUCCCUGCUGAGCAGGGAGCCCGAUGCGGGACUCGAUCCCGGGACUCCAGGAUCAUGACCUGAGCCGAAGGCAGUCGCUUAACCAACUGAACCACCCAGGCGCCCCAUUUUAUAUUUUAAAAUAUCUUCCUAUUAUUUUAGUAUUUUCAUAACAAAAAAAACAGACAGUAAUUUGAGUUGUUUGCUUAUUUUUAGAUGAUCGCACGUAAGUGCUUUGAAUCAUCUCUAAAAGCUUAUUUCCACAGCACAUAACAAAAUUAAUUAAAUUGCCUUUUGAAGCAGGGCUGCUUUGUUUCCCACUGAAACGAUGACUCAUGAGGUCUGAGUGAGUCUCAUUUAUAUUCCUCCUUCAGCAAGUAAUUUAAAUGUGAGUUAUAUAGAAAGGAAAAGGAAGAAAGAACAAGGAGAACACAAACAGAACUAUCCCUUGCUUACCUCUUUGACGAGUUAUCAGUUAUCCUGGAUGUGGCGUUACAUAGGUGGAACCUGCCGUAUUUUGUUGGUACCAGAAAUUCCUAUUGACAGCAGCAUUGAUAACUGACAGCUACGUGUCUUGGGUUGUGUAAGUGGGUCAGGGAAGGUAGAGUUUGGCACAAUACAAGGGAACACUUUCUGAUCCGCUGACAUGCCCAGCACUGGUACCUUCUGGGUUGGGUGGCAGUGAGCUUCUUGAUGCAUGGGUAUGAGAAGAGAAGGCUGCUUGGUUGGAGGCGUGGGGGUAGAGGAGUUUUUAUUUAACAGCCAAUCUGAACCAUGGGAGACUGGGACAAGGUAGGUUUGAGUAUGUUGUGGCAUCGAUGAUGGAGCAUAUCCUGAAGUAAAUGCUUACUUUGACAGUCACUUUUAUUUUAUAAUUAGGAACUUUUCAGCAGUUGGAAACAUAGCACUUAGCACAUGACAGGCAUGUGAUGAACGUUUACUGAAUGCUCACCUACAGGGAUUGGGAAGAGGAGGAAUGGCUGAAUGAAUGAAGUAAAUGCUUAUUUUGACAGUCACUUUUUUUUUUUAAAGAUUUUUUAUUUAUUUAUCUGAGAGAGAGAAUGGGAGACAGAGAGCAUGAGAGGGGGAGGAUCAGAGGGAGAAGCAGACUCCCCGCUGAGCAGGGAGUCCGAUGCGGGACCUGAUCCUGGGACUCCAGGAUCAUGACCUGAGCCGAAGGCAGUCGCCCAACCAACUGAGCCACCCAGGCGCCCCUUGACAGUCACUUUUAUUUUAUAAUUAGGAACUUUUCAGCAGUUGGAAACAUAGCACUUAGCACAUGACAGGCAUGUGAUGAACGUUUACUGAAUGCUCAUCUACAGGGAUUGGGAAAAGGAGGAAUGGCUGAAUGAAUGGGCUCGUGCAUGACCAAGUAUGGAGGAAGGAACUGCAAUAGGAAGGAUUUGAGAUGCCUUUAUGUGGACUUCGAAGACUGGUUUUGAACUAAAGGGAACUUGGAGCCUGCAUUCUGUGUGAACACUGUGGCUUAGCCACAAACCUGUGUUCUUUGAGUUACGGCCAAGUGAGCAUUUCAUCUGGUGGUUCUUCUGGUGGCAGUGGGCAUUGGGAGAUUGUCCAAACAGGCUUUUUGGUUUUUUUUGUUUGAUUUUCCAGAAAGCCAGCAAAGUAGGUCCAUUGAAAUAUAUUGCUGUUCCCCUCCUAGCUAUCCCACCACCCUCAAGGGCCCCCACCAACACACAGAUUGGACUUUAAUGCCAACAGCUGAAAUGCAGCCAGUUCAUAUUCUUGCUUUUUGUUGAGACAUACUUUGUUCCUUACUCCAGUGAUUUUGCUAGCAAUUUUGCUGAUAGAAAGGGAAGGAGGACCCACAGAGAAUGUGGGCAGAUGGCUUAUAGAGGUGGCACAGUUUGCUCAAUUUGUUUUAUAAAACAAUAGGCAAUUAUAAACUCCUACUCAGAGAUGUAUUUCUCCUUGAUUUUCAGAAAUACAGGGGUGAAUAUUGCCCAGGGACUGAAGCUAGAUGAAGGUGAUUUGGGUCCAUUUUAAUGUUUUCCAUUCUCAAGAGAUGUGUCUCAUGGGAAAGCAAUAACAUUAGGGAAAGUAUAUUGUGAGUUUUGAGGGACGCUUUUGGCUAAUUCCCAUAAUCACUCUGUGCCUUUAUGUCCUCAUAAGUAAGUGGAGACAACACCCGCCCGUUGUAUGGCUUUGGGCAAAGGCCAGCCAGAUGAGACCUGUUGUUUUGUGCACUGCACAGUUGAAUUCAAGGUGCCCUUAUUUAGAUUAUUACUCCUAUUUGCUGAUUAAUGGUGCUUAUUUUAAAACUGAUUCUGGAAGAAGCAUCCAAACAAAAUAACAGUCCGCUCCCAUUGUUAGCAUGGUCUGCUUUGUGAAAUCACAGAUUCUACUCAAAGGCUACAUUCCACAGAAAAUAACUGCAAUUUAAACAUAUGAGCCUCUAAUGGAACCACCUUCCAGUCUGCACCUAUUUCAUCCCUCUUCCCGCCACAACACAAUGACCUCCUGAGCUGUUUGCUAACAACAUUUAUUAACCGCAGGCCUGGAGACAGACAAAACCAAGUCAGAAUGCUUUACUAGGCCCAACACUCAGAUGAUGAGCAGAAACCUUUCUCUAUAUAAUUUCCAUUGGUCAAUGCUCAAGCAGACUCUAAAAGAAACCCACCAUUUUCUAUACCUACAGAAAACAUUUCUUCCCAAGAGAGUGUUCAGAUCUUUCCUCCUCCAUCUGUGUCUUCUGGCUAACACCUCCCUGUUUGCCUUGCACAUAUUUUCUUCUACACAGCUGCUGAGUCCAGUGCAUUGGUCUUCACCUAGGGAACUCGAGUGGUGCACCUCACUGCCACCAAAGGCCAAGUCAGGGUAUAUAACUGCUACCAAAUAUUGGGGAUUAGCUAUAGAAGUUCCAGAAAGACCUUCUUAUCAUUCAAAGUCCAACAUUCUUUCUUACCAACGUACCUACAAAUGGUAAAUAAAAAAAUGAUUCAUAAUAUAGUAACUAUCCCCUCAUUAUUCCUUAAUCUUUUAUUAAUCUCCCUUAUUAUGAAUUAGGGGAAUAUGCUAAAAAAGAAGAUAUCGCUCUUUCUGUCUCUAUAACAAACAACAGUAAUUAUCUGGUGGAAUGCAUCCCCCUUCUCUGCAGGGAAUUACCAUUUGCUUCAGGACUGAACAAAAUGAGAAAGUAUGACAUCACUGAAUCCACUUUUAAAAUUAAUAUGAAGCGCUUGUCAUGAAAAUGUAGAUCUUCCCAACGGGGAAAAAAUAUGACUAGUAUCAACUGAAUCAGAAAUAUGAAAGUGUCAGGCUGUCAUUUACCUGAGCAAUUUGUCUUGGUCCUGUACAAGGGAGCCUUGGAGGCAAUUGGCAGUUGCGAAAAGAAACACAAAGACAAACAAGACCCCAAAAUCAAAACUUUAAAAACCAAAGAGUUGCCACCCAAAUUUUUAGUAGCUAUCCAUAUUUUCACUGACUUCUUAUCUGAGUAUGGAACCAACAAAGCUGCAGAAGAGAUCAUAGAAUCUUAGAACUCAAUGAGUCCAGAAGUUUCUUAACAUUCUUUUUCUUUUUAAAAAACAACAUCUUUUCCUACUAAAAUUUAACAUGGAAGGCCAUCAUGGGAAAUUUUCGUGAGCACAGCUGUCCUGGUUGAAGUGCAUGCACAUGGACUGGGGGACUGAGGGAUGUUCUCUCACAUCCACUGUACCCAUGUGCGGCCCCUAAGCACCUUUCCAGGAAGCUCAUGGCCUUGAGGAGUUUGGAAACAAGACCAGUCCAUCCUACACUCCUCUGGUGAUAAAGGGCGCAGAGUCUCAGAGCUGGACCUGAGGCAGGCCUGAGGUCACCUAGGCAAACCAGAGCCAUUGGAGAGCUGAGUCCUCCAAGCCAGGCCUGUGCACCCCAUGUGGGGAGCCUGAACUGAGCUGUGGAAAUCUCCUCACACCUACCUUUAUUCUUGGCCCCUUUACCUGAGGAAAAUUUGCCUGGCUACCAAAGAGUAUUGCUAUCAUUAGCCAGCUCCACAUUUCAGUUGUUAAGAAACUUCCUUGCUCUGUUGUUAAUGUGGAUCCAGUCAGAACUGAGUUUUAGGCAUGAAAAGUCUGUGGUCCUUUUGUCCUUGAUUAAUUUAGUGACAUUCUAGAAAGGAAGCUGAGAAGCUUGAAACAUCCUUGCUCAUUAAUAAUAUACUUUUCCUUUUGGUAAUAUAAACAUAAUUCAAGACCCGAUUAAAAUGUCCCAAUUUUUUGUCAGUAAGGAAAGAACCUUUAUAACUCAACUUUGCCAUAUGUUCUUGUCCCAAGUGCUUGUCAUCUCGAUUAAAUUGCUCAUAACUGUAUGCAAUGUAGAAGCUUUGGCAGAGUUGGGCAGCCAUAGUUCAGAGCCUGAUCUGAUCUGUUUGCAUGAGUGGUGGUAAAGGAGUUGACUUGGAUACUGGAUCAUGUGCUAUUUGUAGUGCAUUUCUGAGAUAUUAUUAGUCAAAUUCAGUUGAUCUCUGCUUCAACUCACGUGGGUGGCCUGCCAUCAUUUAAUUGAUGAAACCUGGGACAGAGCUGAAGGCUAUCAAACUGAUGCUCAGGUUAAAUUUGUGGGUCAGUCUACUGUCUUGAAACCGAACAGCAGGAUUAAUAACAUCCCUCCAGUUCAGUUCUCUUGCUAAGAGCCACUAAAUAGAUAAUGUGCGAUGGCCUCGCCUCAAGUCUGGAGCCAUUCCAGAGGAAAGUGCCAGAGUCUGGACCAGAAGCACAGUGGACUCACCCCACACCAUCCGUGGAGCCUCGCAGAGUCCUAAUGGGUCCCAACCCGUACAUACCAGUUAAUUGGCUAUAGGUGAGCAGUGUUCACUUUCAUUCAGCAAAUCACACUGAGUGCAUGUGAUUUGCCAGGCCCUGUAUGUGGCAACGGGGAUGUGGAGACACGUAAGACAUGAUGUCCCCUGAACGUAGUGGAGGGGUGAGAGGACAGAGGCAUAGACAGGCAGGCCAAUACUAUUUAGAAAGUGAAUCAAAGGAGGCUUGGACAGGGUGCUUUGAGUGCGUGAAAAGGAAGCAACUAACUCAGGCUGGACGGUGAGAACAGCACCCUCAGGGACUAGGGGAAGCUUCUGGGAGGAGGGGAUGCUCAAGCUGUCUUUUAUAAAAAUGAAAACAUAUCAUUUUUUCCCCUAUGAUCAGAGGAUAUGUAUUUGUUGUAGGAAACAAUUACUACUUCCAAAAAACAACAAUAAAAAUCACUGUAACACCACUACCAGAGGUAAGCACUGCUUACAUUUGAAGCAUGUCCUUUCAGUCUCUCUAUCAUCUAGGUCUAUACACAAAUGCUUUAAAAAUGUUCUCAGAUAGUGAGCAGCUGAUUUGUUACUUCGUUUUUUUUAAAAAAAGCCUAACAAUACACAAUGAAUAUUUUUUCAUGUCACUAAAUAUUCUUCGCCAUAAUAUUGCAUUGCAUGAGGUCCCUAAUUUACUUAAUUCUUUAUUAUGGGAAUUUAGUUGUUGCAAAAUUUUCACUAUUAUUAACUAUGACGAAAUCCUUACACUUAAAUUUUUUACACAUCUAUAAUUAUUUCCUUAGGACAGAUCCCUAGAAUGAAAAUCACUGGGUCAGAGGUUAUACACAUUUGAGGCUAAAUACCAGCCAGCGUCCAAGACAGCCCCAGUGAUCCUUGCUGCCUGAUACUCAUUCACACCUUUGUGUGGCCCCCUCUCAUAAGAAAUAGGGCUAUCCUGUAAGGCCAAUAGGAUAUUGCAGAAGUGACAGUUUUGAAAUGGAUUUAAAAGUACUUGGACUCACUGUCAGGCCUCGGACACCAGGAAUGGAUGAGGGCCGGAAGGAGGACAGACAACAAGAGGAGGAGAAAUGUGGCCAGGAGUACCACUCACUCACCAUCAGAGGAAGCCCUCGGGGAGGGGCUCUUGCUCUGUGGGUUAAUCCUUGGGAGAGGAUACUCCUUAUGCUAUCUUCCCCAUGGCUUCUGCCUUAGGCUUCUGGCUCUUCCUGAGAACUGGGUUGUGGCCUUAACUGAGCCACUGACCUGUGAAUUUGGACCAGUCCCUUACGGGACUGCAUGGUCUCUUGGGGCCCCUGUAGCCCUGUCAAUGUACUGGUCUAAGCCUCCAAGUCUCUUACCAGCAGUAGGUCCCACAAUGUAGGAGCGGUGCUUUCCCUGGGCCAGAUUACAUGUUUGACAGGUGCUACAGGUUGAAUUGUGUCUGCCUCUGUCCCCUCCCCCACCAAAAAAAUGAUAUGUUGAAAUCCAAACCUCAGAAUGUGACUUUAUUUGGAGAUAGUGUUUUUAUAGAGGUAAUCAAGUUAAAAUGAAAUCAUUAGUGUGGGCCCUAAUCUAAUAAAAGGGGAAAAUUGGACACAGACACAGACAUGCAUACAGGGAGAGCAGCACCAUGUGAAGACACGGAGAGAAGAUGGCCGUCUGCAAGCCAUGGAGAGAAGCCUGGAAUAUAUCCUUCCCUCACAGCCCUCAGAAGGAACCAACCCUGCUGACAUCUGGAUCUGGGGCUUUUAGCCUCCAGACUGAGACCAAAAAAAAAAAAAAAUCUGCUAUUGAAACCAUCUAGUUUGUUGGUACUUUUUAAUUUUUAUAACAGCUCUAGAAAAUUAAUACAGCGGGUAAAGCAGAUUUUCCCCAGAUUUCCUUCACUGGCAGCUGACAGUGUGACAUAUGGCCAUUCCUAGUUACUUAGGUCCCCCCGAGAAUUCCUUUCACCUCACUUCCCAGAGCAGGCGUCAGAGGCUCCAGGGAGAGAGCCACUGUCUCAGUGGUCACUCCUGUCUCUUCCUAACAGGCAGGUUCUAGAAGUGGAAGGAGAGAGAAGGCUGGUGAUGAAGGGUUUCUUUAUCAGAAGGCUUUAAGUACCUUUCCUGGAACAGGGACUGCAUCAAGUGUCCUUGCCUCAAGGACUCAUCACCAGAGCCUACCUGGGAGAGGGAAACUUUUCUGAUUUACAUAGCCCCUCUUAAUGCAUUCUUGUCACUUAAAAGGAAAGUAAACUUCAGUGCUGAGGUACUAGGCUUAGUCAUAUGGCCUCUCAGCGCUCUCUAAUCAGUAUCACUUUGCCAUCGCUAAGGUUUCUGUAAGUCCAUCAACAGCCUCUCACCUCCUCUCAGUUCAUUAUCUCAUAUAGUUAGAGGACCUAUUAUGGGAAAUACGUACUGUCAUCAGCAGCUUAGACAUAAAUUUAUGCUGCGUAUGUAGUUGGUCAAAGUGCCUCUACUCAGCUCAUCACGAUUUUUCCACUAGGACCAAGGAAAUUGCUGUCUGAUUAUUCUCUCCAGCCCCAUCAGUUAAGGAGUCUUGUCUAAUCCAGUGUCUAAAGACUUGACCAAAAUAGGUUUUUGUCUAAAAAGAUUGAUCCUGAAAAAUGAGAUAAAGGGCUGUUCAAAGUGGUUUAGGGGAACAAACUUCAUUUCAUCAAAGUACACUGUCUUCCUCAACAAAUCCUUUUUGGUUUAAUUUCUCUGAAUUUGUGCAAAACGUAUAGCAGCUGUGGUAGCAAAGAUGUUGUACUGGAAAUUAAAUCAAAUGCGUUGAUUUUCUACUGA